rnacentral:rRNA from 1 species
GCUUACGGCCAUACCACCUGAUUCGCCCGAUCUCGUCUGAUCUCGGAGCUAAGCAGGUCAGGCCUGGUUAGUACUUGGAUGGGGAGACCCCUGGGAUACCAGGUGCUGUAAGCU